UACAAUACUUUGUUUGGCUUUUUAUAGCCAUUUUUUACAAUGUCUGUUUCCCUAGAUUUUGCUGUUUGCGUGUUUUCUUUGUCUUGCAGGGUAUGGCCGGUGGCAGAGGGCAGGUGACCGGUGCUGGUGGCGGUUGGUGGCCUUGGCAGAGGCAAGUGGGGAGGGUGGUUGCGGCGCUGCUUUAGGGGCUAGGGUUAGGGUUGGAUAUUUUUUGUUUCUGAUUUGUGUAAUGGGUCUUGGGUGUUGGGUUUAGUUAUUGGGUUUAAG
rnacentral:lncRNA from 1 species